GAUGAAGAACGUAGCGAAAUGCGAUAAGUAAUGUGAAUUGCAGAAUUCAGUGAAUCAUCGAAUCUUUGAACGCACAUUGCGCCCCUUGGUAUUCCGAGGGGCAUGCCUGUUCGAGCGUCAUUAUAACCCCUCAAGCUCAGCUUGGUGUUGGGGCCUGCCGCACGGGCAGCCCUUAAAAACAGUGGCGGUGCCAUCUGGCUCUAAGCGUAGUAAUUCUUCUCGCUAUAGAGUUCCGGUGGAUGCUUGCCAUUAACCCCCAAUUUUCUAUGGUUGACCUCGGAUCAGGUAGGGAUACCCGCUGAACUUAAGCAUAUCAAUAAGCGGAGGA
rnacentral:misc_RNA from 1 species